AUGGACAGCCCCACAGUUAGCUCUACGCCAUAUUGUGGUGAGGACUUCCACAACCCUCAGCGAGAGAAAUUAUAUCGAGGUCCUAAACCCACAAUUCCAGAUUUCACCAAAGGGGACCCACGAGAGUUUGCAAGAUUGAAGAUCUCCCUGGAUAAUAUUCUGCCUGAAGAUGCCACAGAGAGAUUUAAAUAUCAGAUCCUCUUAGAUCAUCUCAAAUUUGAGGAUGCCCUUCUGAUAGCAGACUCUUACACAAAUUCAAAGAGACCUUAUUCAGACACCAUGGCUUCCCUGGCAGAACAGUAUGGACAGCCCCACCAGUUAGCUCUACGCCAUAUUGCUGACCUCAUGGAAGGCUCAAGUAUCCGCAGUCAUGAUACAACUGGAUUUAAGAAGUUUGCACUUAAGGUCAGAGCUCUCGUGGGCAUGCUAGAUCAACUUGGUCAAAGUGGAAAUGUUGAACUCCAGUGCGGCUCACAUGUUACUAGGUUACUAUCCAAGUUACCUCAGGACCUGCGAGCUGAUUUCAAGAGGUACAUGUAUCCCCUGGGAGUCUGCAUCCCCACACUUCUGAACUUUGCAGAGUGGCUGGAAUACGAACUGACAAUUCAAGAAAGUGGUUUUGAGUUUAUUGGAGAAAGAAGGGAACGCCUUGAUCAAAGGAUGGACAGACGUAAGGACGUCAAGUCUAGUAAGACAUUUUCCAUAUUUCACAGCUCAGACCCUUCCCCCACCAAUCCACCAACAGAAGGGUCUGGUCCAAGUGCUACUACACCUCAAGACAAGGUAAAGGCAUACUGUCCCUAUUGCUCCAACACCCAACAUUACUUGAAUCAGUGCCAGAACUUUAGUCAGCUUACUAAAGAACAGAAGUGCUACUGGGUAAAAACAAAUAAAAAAUGUUGGCGUUGUGGUCGCACCCACCAAGCAGCACAGUGUCGUCUGAAAACAAUCUGCAAAAUCUGUAAGGGCAGGCAUCUUGAGGCACUCCACGAGCUCAAUGAUAGACCAAUUAGAGAAACCCCUCCUCUUUCGAAUCCCACCAGUGAGGUUCUCUACUUGGAUAGGCAAGCAGGCUGCAGUAAGGUACUGCUGAAAGUCAUCAAAGUGAUUUUACGUAAUGGAAAGCAUGUGCUAGAGACCUUCGCCAUUCUAGAUGAUGGCUCAGAGAGAACAAUUCUCCUUCAGGCUGCUGCUCAGAAACUGAAUCUUCACGGUAAGACAGAGGAUCUGGUACUGAGAACAGUUCGACAAGACAUGAAGGUCAUACAAGGUAAUACAGUUUCCUUCUCAAUAUCUCCUGCUUGUCAGCCUCAGAAGGUCUUUAAGAUCAACAGAGCAUUCACAGCAGAUCAGCUAGGAUUGGCAGAACAUACUUACCCUAUUAAAGUUCUACAAAGCAAGUACAGCCAUCUCAGAGGGCUGCCCAUUCCUGCCCUUGACAAAGCUCAUCCACUCUUGCUAAUUGGCUCUGACUAUCCUCAUUUAAUCACGCCAAUUGCACCAGUGCUCUUGGGUCCUUCGGGUGGACCAGCAGCAGUGAGAACGAGGUUGGGUUGGACAGUCCAGGGUCCUGCCAAGCUUGUCCAUUAUCAGCUUCAGUCUCAACAGUGCCUGAACAUUUCCAUUAUGUCUCCCUCCAAUGAACUGUUCAAAAAUGUGCAGCAACUUUGGCAACUGGAUGUAUUGCCUUACAGGAAUGAGAAGCUUAUCACUAGAUCUAAGCAAGAUCAGGAUGCAGUGAACCUGUUAGAGGCAAAGUCCAAACGGAUUGACAUCAAUGGGAUCCAGCGCUAUGCCACUCCUCUUCUCAGGGUAAAGCACAUGCCAAAACUACAAGCCACAAAGGAAGCGGUAAUGGCCAACCUCCGCAGCACAGAGAAUCGCUUAAUGAGAGACCCUCAAAAGGCAGAAGCUUAUCAUGACGAAAUUAGGAAGCUAGAACAAGCUGGCUAUGCAGUCAAGGUACAAGAGCAGAUACUGAGUGAGACUGAUGAAUCUUGGUUCAUCCCUCAUCAUAUGGUGAGUCACAACGGGAAGAACAGAGUUGUCUUUAACUGCUCAUUCUCCUACAAAGGACAAAACCUAAAUGAUCUGCUCCUGCCUGGACCCAAUUUGGGGUCUUCUUUACUUGGUGUACUGCUAAGAUUCAGGGAGCACUCUGUCGCUAUCAGUAGCGACAUAAAGGGCAUGUUUCACCAAGUGAGAUUGCUGCCAGAAGACAAGCCGCUCCUCCGUUUCUUAUGGCGCAAUUUAGACAGAGAGAAACAACCCGAUAUCUAUGAGUGGCAAGUGCUCCCAUUCGGGACAACAUGUAGUCCGUGCUGUGCUACAUACGCUUUGCAGAGGCAUGUAUUUGACCACAGCCAACCAGGAGACCAGGUACGAGACUCUAUUGAAAGAUCUUUCUAUGUAGACAACUGUCUACAGAGCCUUGCUUCGUUGGAUGAAGCCAAAUUGCUUGUGGAUUCAUUAAGAGACCUGUUAGCCACAGGUGGAUUUGAGUUACGGCAAUGGGCAAGCAACAUUCCUGAGGUCAUUUGUCAUUUACCAAAGGAAGCUAGGUCAGAGAGCAGUGAGCUUUGGCUCAAUCAGACUGGGGAAGAUCCUCAAGAAUUUGCACUAGGGCUACGUUGGCUGUGCAAUUCAGACACUCUAAAGUAUAAGUGCCGUCUGCUAGACUGCCCGAAACCAACAAUGAGGAACAUAUACAAAGUGGUAGCAAGUCAAUAUGAUCCUCUCGGGUUCAUUGUUCCCUACACAACUAGGGCCAAAAUCCUCAUUCAGCAUCUUUGGGCAAAACACAGAGAAUGGGAUGAUCCGGUACUGCCAGAAGAUCUCCUUCGAACUUGGCACUCUUGGCAGGGGGAAUUGCAACACCUGUCCCAGAUCAACUUAACCCGCUGCUAUGCAAGUCCAAAGAUGGAUGUUCCUGACUGCACUCGACAAAUCCAUGUGUUCUGCGAUGCCUCGGAAAAGGCUUAUGGUUCUGUUGCAUAUCUACGAACAGAAAACCCAGAGGGAGGUGCUGAAGUGUCAUUUCUCACUGCUAGAUCAAGAGUGGCCCCUAAGCGACAGCUAUCCAUGCCUAGGUUAGAACUGUGUGCAGCCCUUACAGGUGCUCAGUUAGCUUCUCUUGUUAAUAGAGAGCUUACAUUAGACAUUUGUUCCUGUUUCCUCUGGACUGACUCCACCACAGUCCUAACAUGGCUACAGUCUGACUCCUGUCGCUUUAAGGUUUUUGUGGGCACACGAGUUUCUGAGAUUCAGGAACUAACCAGUGAUCACACCUGGCGUUAUGUUGAUUCUACCAAUAAUCCAGCAGACGACAUCACCCGUGGAAAAACUUUGGUAGAAUUAGCAACAGAUAAUCGGUGGAGACAAGGACCAACAUUCCUCUGGCAGCCACAGGACCACUGGCCCAUUACCCCAGGCCAAGGUAUCAUUGAUAGUUGUGAACUGAGGAAAUCUAUCUGCUGCAAUCAUGUAGCUGUCGCUGAAGAUCACUCGUUCCCAGAUCCAAAUCAGUACAACAGUUUUAAAGAUUUAAUUGAAGCAGCUGUACUCUUACGCCAUGGGGUGGCUGGGAAACAGGGAAAUCCAACAGCGGAUGACUACAAAUUGGCAGAAACAGAUCUCCUAAGAAAAUCUCAACAAGAUAGCUUCCCUGAAGACUUUGACUGUGUAGCAAUGGGCAGACCAGUACAAUCAUCUAGCCGUUUGAUCACCCUCGCACCUGAAUAUGACCCUGUAUUCCAGCUUAUCCGAGUCGGAGGUCGACUCCGCCGCUGUAAACAGCUAGAUCCAGAUACUAUCCACCCAGUGGUUCUAGACCCAGCUCACAAAGUAACACAACUCCUCAUUCAGGAUAUGGACAACCAACUCUGUCACCCAGGUUCUGAACGAGUUUUUGCAGAGCUUCGCCGCCAAUUCUGGAUUCUUCGAGGUAGAGCAGCUGUUAAAAAACAACAACACUCUUGCUUUGAUUGCCAAAAAUGGAGAGCCAAGCCAGUUGUGCCCCUAAUGGCAGACCUACCCCAAGCUAGGCUGCAACUGUUUAAGCCUGCCUUCUUUUCUACUGGUAUGGACUGUUUUGGUCCCUUUACAGUGAAAGUAGGAAGACGCAAUGAAAAGCGUUGGGGCAUCCUUUUCAAGUGCCUCACCACACGUGCCAUCCACAUAGACCUCCUACACAGUCUUGAUACAGACUCCUUUCUGAUGGCACUGCGUCGUUUUAUUUCUCGUAGAGGUAAGCCUUCUGAGCUACUUUCAGAUCAAGGCACUAAUUUCAAAGGUGGGGACAGAGAACUCCAGGAAGCCUUUAAAGCUUUGAAUCCUUCGUUGCAAGCACGACUGGCAAAAGAACAAAUUCAAUUUAAAUUCAACCCCCCCAGUAGUCCACACUUUGGAGGAGCUUGGGAACGAGAAAUAAGAUCCAUCAAGUCUGCACUAUAUGCCACUUCGCAAAGUCAAAGCAUGACCGAAGAGGUAUUAAGGACAGUGCUGAUAGAAGUGGAAGGAAUCUUAAACUCCAAACCUCUGGGUUAUGCAUCAACUGAUGUUGCAGACCCCAAUCCCGUCACACCCAAUCUUCUCCUCAUGGGGCGGCUCGAUCCAUCGCUCCCCCAGGCUGUCUACCAUGAAUCAGAACUUUUAAGUCGUCGCAGAUGGAGGCACACACAAGUCCUUGCGGAUCAGUUUUGGAGACAAUUCAUCAAGUAUUACCUUCCUAACCUACAGACCCGUUCCAAGUGGCAGAAAGACACUGAUUACUUACAGCCUGGCAUGAUCGUGAUGAUCCUAGACCCUCAACUACCCAGAGCUGUCUGGCCAGUAGGACAGAUCACCAAUGUCUUUCCUGGAGCUGAUGGACGGAUUAGGACAGCAGAGGUGAAAAUAAAAGACAAAGUAUAUACCAGACCAGCAGCUCGUCUUAUUAAAUUACCAUCCAUCCAUAACACUGACAAAGCGGAGACAAGUCCUUCUACAUAA
rnacentral:lncRNA from 1 species